CUGGGGCAAAGAAAUACUGCAGCCUUUUCCUCAUCUUUUGUCACUGUUUCUCCCAGCAUCCAAUAAAGAGCGGAGUUUGUCCUUCUAUUCCUGAUGUAUUUCUAGACACAUUUCUAUUGUCUUUUAAGUUUUGUUUGGACUUUAGUACUUUUAAUAUCCCCCUGCAUAACCUCAUGACAUCCUUGUAGUCCUGCUGAGUUGCUCUUUGUUUCAAAGCUCAUAAAUUCUCCUUUAUUUCCUGAGUUCCAGCCAAAGCUCUCAGUUCACCCAGGCUCAUCUUCUUCCACAACACCCUAUUUUUCAGCCUGCUCCUAGGCCUGUAAGAUUUCUUUCUGGAAGAAUGUCCAGCCUUUCUGGACUCCUCUUUACGCUCCAGUAAUGCAUCUCAAGGGACUCUCCCAUCCAGUUUCCUAAACUGGCCAAAGUCUCCUCUCUGGCAGUCCAAGGUAACAAUUUUGCUACUAAUAAUUUUUUGAUUUCUGGGCCUAGGAUGGCUUCCAAACAUCACAUCACUCACCUGUCCUUCUUUAUUCAAAAUCAAUGGGUCCAGCAGGACACCUUCCCUAGCUGGGUCACCUACCACCUGCAUCAGAAAGUUACACACACUCCAGGAAUCUCCUAAUCAGUUUCCUCUCUGUUGUGUUGCAUUUCUGUCUGUUAAGUUGAAGUUUCUCCUGAGAACAAGGUUAGUACUUGUAAGAGUUUUUCCAGUUGCUGAUAGAAUAUUUCACCUUCUUCUACAUCCUGGUUGGGUUGUCUAUAACACUCCCUCCAUGACAAUUUCCUUGUUGGCCUUUCCUCUGAUUCUUACCCAUACUCACCAUCAUACUGACACCAUCAUUAAGCUCUAGACAAGCAAAACUUUCCCUAACAUACAGAAUUAUUCCUCCUCAGAUAUCCCUUCUGAAGAGCUCAUAGCCAUCCAUUGGAGCAUUCCAGUUGUGCAACUCAACCCAUUGUGUUUCUGUGAUGGCCACUGUGUCAUAGUUCUGCUGUUGCACAGUGGUUUUUCUUUUUGUUGCCCGUGCAUUGGUGUAGAUACACUUCAGCUGAGUUAUUGAUUCCACUGCCUUUUUGGGGGAAGAAGCCCUAAUUCCUGCAUAACCUUUUGCUCUACACUAGCAAGUAGAUUGCACCCAACCAGUUCCAGCCUGAUACACUAGCCUUGCUAAUUGGACACAGAGAAAUCCCUUAUCAGUGAAGUUAGAAAAGGACCUAUGAAAAAAGUGUGGGAGACUGCUGUAAAUCAAAGAAGAGGAACAGAACAGAAGGAAAGCCAAUCAACUGUACCCCUCCGAGCUGUGAGUUUAUAGGAAAAGCUGAGCCUCGUUGGAUGGAGGAAAAAGUGGCCAGCAGGGGUCAUAAGAAAAGAACAUAUCCAUGAUGAGAAAAAAAAUCAAGUGAAUGGCAUGUGGAACUCUCUUUUCAACUCCAGUUUCUAACAGACCUGAGAUUUGUAAGAGCAAAUUAUAGUCAAGCAUUCUCAAUGCAAAUCUUGUAACUUUAGAAGACCAAAGAGGCCUCCAUCAUCCCAGUGGUCUGAGCAUGUCCUGUAAGAUAGAAGGUAAUGGCUGUGGUUAAGGAAGGAAAAUUUGUCAGUAGGGUGCACUGACAAUGAACAACUCUUGAAGGGUUGUUCGCAGCUACAGUUUUCUUUAGGAGCUAAAGCAUCACAUUCCCACAUGCAAACCCAGACACAUUCCAGUGGGUUUAGGAUGUCAGUUCAUAUUUACAGACAUCACAUUUAGCAUCUAAGUUAAGAAGGCCAAGUCUGGAUUUAUCCUUCUAACAUCACUAUGUUGCCUGAUGUCUGAAUUAGACCAUUAUCAUCUCUGAAAUUGAAAGAAAAGACAGUUAUCUCCAAGGUCAGUGCCACCCACUGAUGUUUCUCACCCUCUUUUUGUAUUUACAAUGUUUUUGAGGUCCAGUGUCCAUGGACUGUAUUGCUAAAAUUAACAGAACUGCAUAGAUUUGAUCCAGUAACAGAGUAAAUGAAUAGUCUAAAAUGAAAGAUUUUAAUCCAUGUGUUUUGAAGACAUGGCAUUGUUUAUGAAACUGCCAGUGGUUGGCAACAAAUGUUCUCAAGGUUUUUUGUUGCAGAAAAGCAAUUGUUCUCCUAGUCACGCUCCCUCCAGGGAUGUGUGUGUAUGAGACUGAUCCAGUGAUUCCUUAUACAACACAGCAGGAGCAGUGAUCCAUAUAACCAAUUAUUCCUGUACCUUUACUGACAUGGUGAAUCAUGUAAGUUUUUUCUUCAGAUGAUAAUUUCAUUGCUCUUUUAGUUUGUGCAUUUAUUUCUUUAUUGUUUCCCUUAGCUGAACUUUUUGUGGCAUGAAUUCAUUAAUGUUAGGUAAUGAGGUGGAGAUUCAGGCUUAUAAAGAGGAAUUAACACAGCCUAAAUUGCAACUAUAUUAUAGUACCACCAUCUGUUUUUCUCUUACAGAAAAUUUACACAUUCUCAUUUCAAUUAAGUGUGAUAGUCAAAAUAAUUGUAAAAUCAUUCUCUCUCAGACAUUACAAUAAAUAAAGAUAGCAUUACUUCUCAGGGACUUAAUAACACUUAGUGUAAAACAUGUACUUCUAUUCAAGUUUUAUAACCUUAUCUUUAUCACCUUUUUGAUAAAUAUCACAGUAUAAAUAAAACAAAUGGAACAGUUUCAUUUUGUCAGCUAGGAUUAAGGUAAUAUAUUUAAGACACAAAUGGCCUACAUAGUGUUGAUUUAAGCAGGACUGAAAACUUUCCUCUUUUUUUCACUUGUCAGUCUUCAAGGCACUGCAAAUGUUUUACUCAAGCUUAGACUGAAAACUCAAAACUUCAUCUAUGUUUAGGAGUCAAAACUGAGGUUUAGGGUCCAAGAAGAAUUUUCUUUUCAACUACUUCAAAAUGAUUCCAUUUGAGUUUAGUUGGUUACAUUUGCUCCAGUUUGCCCAUAUUUUGAAUGACAUGAAAAUUGGGAUGCCAGACAUCUUGCAAAACUGCCUAAAGGAAAUGUGAUCUGAUCUUAUGAUCCCUUAAAUGGUUUUCUGUUUAUGCACUGUUUCAAUUCGACAGUUGGUUUGGUUUUGGGUUUUUUUUUUUAUUUUCAAGAAAUCAUCUAAAAAAAAAUCCAAAAACCAAUUCACUAACAAGCCUAACUUGAGGCU